rnacentral:rRNA from 1 species
AGAGCGAACGCUGGCGGCAGGCCUAACACAUGCAAGUCGAACGGACUCUUCGGAGUUAGUGGCGGACGGGUGAGUAACACGUGGGAACGUGCCUUUAGGUUCGGAAUAGCUCCUGGAAACGGGUGGUAAUACCGAAUGUGCCCUUCGGGGGAAAGAUUUAUCGCCUUUAGAGCGGCCCGCGUCUGAUUAGCUUGUUGGUGAGGUAAUGGCUCACCAAGGCUACGAUCAGCAGCUGGUCUGAGAGGAUGACCAGCCACAUUGGGACUGAGACACGGCCCAAACUCCUACGGGAGCAGCGAGUGGGAAUCCUUGCGCAAUGGGCGAAAGCCUGACGCAGCCAUGCCGCGUGUAUGAUGGAAGGUCUUAGGAUUAGUAAAACUUACUUUCGACCGGUAGAAGAUAAUGACUGUAGACGAGAAGACGACCCGCUAACGUCGUAGCCAGCGACGCCGACGGUA